GACGAACGCUGGCGGCGUGCUUAACACAUGCAAGUCGAACGGAAAGGCCCUGCUUGCAGGGUACUCGAGUGGCGAACGGGUGAGUAACACGUGGGUGAUCUGCCCUGCACUUCGGGAUAAGCCUGGGAAACUGGGUCUAAUACCGGAUAGGAGCCAUUUUUAGUGUGAUGGUUGGAAAGUUUUUUCGGUGUAGGAUGAGCUCGCGGCCUAUCAGCUUGUUGGUGGGGUAAUGGACUACCAAGGCGGCGGCGGGUAGCCGGCCUGAGAGGGUGGACGGCCACAUUGGGACUGAGAUACGGCCCAGACUCCUACGGGAGGCAGAAGUGGGGAAGAUUGCACAAUGGGCGCAAGCCUGAUGCAGCGACGCCGCGUGGGGGAUGACGGCCUUCGGGUUGUAAACUCCUUUCGCUGGGGACGAAGCUUUUUGUGACGGUACCUAGAUAAGAAGCACCGGCUAACUACGUG
rnacentral:rRNA from 1 species